rnacentral:rRNA from 1 species
UACGUAGGGUGCGAGCGUUGCCCGGAUUUAUUGGGCGUAAAGGGCGCGUAGGCGGCCACGCACGUCCGUUGUGAAAUCGCCCGGCUCAACUGGGCGGGGUCAGCGGAUACGGCGCGGCUGGAGCAAGCUAGGGGGCAAUGGAAUUCCCGGUGUAGUGGUGGAAUGCGUAGAUAUCGGGAAGAACACCCGUGGCGAAGGCGGCUCUCUGGGACGGUACUGACGCUGAGACGCGAAAGCGUGGGGAGCGAACAGG